rnacentral:rRNA from 1 species
AACGAACGCUGGCGGCAGGCCUAACACAUGCAAGUCGAGCGCCCCGCAAGGGGAGCGGCGGACGGGUGAGUAACGCGUGGGAACGUACCCCUUUCUACGGAAUAGCCUCGGGAAACUGGAGUAAUACCGUAUAAGCUCUUCGGAGGAAAGAUUUAUCGGGAAGGGAUCGGCCCGCGUUGGAUUAGGUAGUUGGUGGGGUAAUGGCCUACCAAGCCGACGAUCCAUAGCUGGUUUGAGAGGAUGAUCAGCCACACUGGGACUGAGACACGGCCCAGACUCCUACGGGAGGCAGCAGUGGGGAAUCUUAGACAAUGGGCGCAAGCCUGAUCUAGCCAUGCCGCGUGAGCGAUGAAGGCCUUAGGGUUGUAAAGCUCUUUCAGUGGGGAAGAUAAUGACUGUACCCACAGAAGAAGCCCCGGCUAACUCCGUGCCAGCAGCCGCCGUAA